rnacentral:rRNA from 1 species
GGGUUGUGAGGUUAAGCGACUAAGCGUACACGGUGGAUGCCCUGGCAGUCAGAGGCGAUGAAGGACGUGCUAAUCUGCGAAAAGCGUCGGUAAGGUGAUAUGAACCGUUAUAACCGGCGAUGUCCGAAUGGGGAAACCCAGUGUGAUUCGUCACACUAUCGUUAACUGAAUACAUAGGUUAACGAGGCGAACCGGGGGAACUGAAACAUCUAAGUACCCCGAGGAAAAGAAAUCAACCGAGAUUCCCCCAGUAGCGGCGAGCGAACGGGGAGCAGCCCAGAGUCUGAAUCAGCUUGUGUGUUAGUGGAACGGUCUGGAAAGUCCGACGGUACAGGGUGAUAGUCCCGUACACCAAAAUGCACAGGCUGUGAACUCGAAGAGUAGGGCGGGACACGUGGUAUCCUGUCUGAAUAUGGGGGGACCAUCCUCCAAGGCUAAAUACUCCUGACUGACCGAUAGUGAACCAGUACCGUGAGGGAAAGGCGAAAAGAACCCCGGCGAGGGGAGUGAAAAAGAACCUGAAACCGUGUACGUACAAGCAGUGGGAGCACCUUCGGGUGUGACUGCGUACCUUUUGUAUAAUGGGUCAGCGACUUAUAUUCUGUAGCAAGGUUAACCGUAUAGGGGAGCCGCAGGGAAACCGAGUCUUAACUGGGCGUUAAGUUGCAGGGUAUAGACCCGAAACCCGGUGAUUCAGCCAUGGGCAGGUUGAAGGUUGGGUAACACUAACUGGAGGACCGAACCGACUAAUGUUGAAAAAUUAGCGGAUGACUUGUGGCUGGGGGUGAAAGGCCAAUCAAACCGGGAGAUAGCUGGUUCUCCCCGAAAGCUAUUUAGGUAGCGCCUCGUGAACUCAUCUUCGGGGGUAGAGCACUGUUUCGGCUAGGGGGUCAUCCCGACUUACCAACCCGAUGCAAACUACGAAUACCGAAGAAUGUUAUCACGGGAGACACACGGCGGGUGCUAACGUCCGUCGUGAAGAGGGAAACAACCCAGACCGCCAGCUAAGGUCCCAAAGUCAUGGUUAAGUGGGAAACGAUGUGGGAAGGCACAGACAGCCAGGAUGUUGGCUUAGAAGCAGCCAUCAUUUAAAGAAAGCGUAAUAGCUCACUGGUCGAGUCGGCCUGCGCGGAAGAUGUAACGGGCUAAACCAUGCACCGAAGCUGCGGCAGCGACUAUGUGUUGUUGGGUAGGGGAGCGUUCUGUAAGCCUGCGAAGGUGACCUGUGAGGGUUGCUGGAGGUAUCAGAAGUGCGAAUGCUGACAUAAGUAACGAUAAAGCGGGUGAAAAGCCCGCUCGCCGGAAGACCAAGGGUUCCUGUCCAACGUUAAUCGGGGCAGGGUGAGUCGACCCCUAAGGCGAGGCCGAAAGGCGUAGUCGAUGGGAAACAGGUUAAUAUUCCUGUACUUGGUGUUACUGCGAAGGGGGGACGGAGAAGGCUAUGUUAGCCGGGCGACGGUUGUCCCGGUUUAAGCAUGUAGGCUGAUUGUCCGCAAAUCCGGAUAAUCAAGGCUGAGGUGUGAUGACGAGGCACUACGGUGCUGAAGUAACAAAUGCCCUGCUUCCAGGAAAAGCCUCUAAGCAUCAGGUAACAUCAAAUCGUACCCCAAACCGACACAGGUGGUCAGGUAGAGAAUACCAAGGCGCUUGAGAGAACUCGGGUGAAGGAACUAGGCAAAAUGGUGCCGUAACUUCGGGAGAAGGCACGCUGGUGUGUAGGUGAAGCCCCUGCGGGUGGAGCUGAGACCAGUCGAAGAUACCAGCUGGCUGCAACUGUUUAUUAAAAACACAGCACUGUGCAAACACGAAAGUGGACGUAUACGGUGUGACGCCUGCCCGGUGCCGGAAGGUUAAUUGAUGGGGUUAUCCGUAAGGAGAAGCUCUUGAUCGAAGCCCGGUAAACGGCGGCCGUAACUAUAACGGUCCUAAGGUAGCGAAAUUCCUUGUCGGGUAAGUUCCGACCUGCACGAAUGGCGUAAUGAUGGCGGGCUGUCUCCACCCGAGACUCAGUGAAAUUGAACUCGCUGUGAAGAUGCAGUGUACCCGCGGCAAGACGGAAAGACCCCGUGAACCUUUACUAUAGCUUGACACUGAACAUUGAGCCUUGAUGUGUAGGAUAGGUGGGAGGCUUUGAAGCGUGGACGCCAGUCUGCGUGGAGCCAACCUUGAAAUACCACCCUUUAAUGUUUGAUGUUCUAACGUUGGCCCUUACCGGGGUUGCGGACAGUGUCUGGUGGGUAGUUUGACUGGGGCGGUCUCCUCCCAAAGCGUAACGGAGGAGCACGAAGGUUAGCUAAUCUGGUCGGACAUCAGGAGGUUAGUGCAAUGGCAUAAGCUAGCUUGACUGCGAGCGUGACGGCGCGAGCAGGUGCGAAAGCAGGUCAUAGUGAUCCGGUGGUUCUGAAUGGAAGGGCCAUCGCUCAACGGAUAAAAGGUACUCCGGGGAUAACAGGCUGAUACCGCCCAAGAGUUCAUAUCGACGGCGGUGUUUGGCACCUCGAUGUCGGCUCAUCACAUCCUGGGGCUGAAGUAGGUCCCAAGGGUAUGGCUGUUCGCCAUUUAAAGUGGUACGCGAGCUGGGUUUAGAACGUCGUGAGACAGUUCGGUCCCUAUCUGCCGUGGGCGCUGGAGAAUUGAGGGGGGCUGCUCCUAGUACGAGAGGACCGGAGUGGACGCAUCACUGGUGUUCGGGUUGUCAUGCCAAUGGCACUGCCCGGUAGCUAAAUGCGGAAGAGAUAAGUGCUGAAAGCAUCUAAGCACGAAACUUGCCCCGAGAUGAGUUCUCCCUGAGACUUUAAGUCUCCUGAAGGAACGUUGAAGACGACGACGUUGAUAGGCCGGGUGUGUAAGCGCAGCGAUGCGUUGAGCUAACCGGUACUAAUGAACCGUGAGGCUUAACCUUACAACGCCGAAG